rnacentral:rRNA from 1 species
ACGCUGGCGGCAGGCUUAACACAUGCAAGUCGAACGGUAACAGGGAUUAGCUUGCUAAUUUGCUGACGAGUGGCGGACGGGUGAGUAAUGCUUGGGAAUCUGGCUUAUGGAGGGGGAUAACUACGGGAAACUGUAGCUAAUACCGCGUAAUAUCGGAAGAUUAAAGGGUGGGACUUUCGAGCCACCUGCCAUAAGAUGAGCCCAAGUGGGAUUAGGUAGUUGGUUAGGUAAAGGCUGACCAAGCCGACGAUCUCUAGCUGGUCUGAGAGGAUGACCAGCCACACUGGAACUGAGACACGGUCCAGACUCCUACGGGAGGCAGCAGUGGGGAAUAUUGCACAAUGGGGGGAACCCUGAUGCAGCCAUGCCGCGUGAAUGAAGAAGGCCUUCGGGUUGUAAAGUUCUUUCGGUGACGAGGAAGGUUGAUAGGUUAAUAGCCUAUCAAAUUGACGUUAAUCACAGAAGAAGCACCGGCUAACUCCGUGCCAGCAGCCGCGGUAAUACGGGGGGUGCGAGCGUUAAUCGGAAUAACUGGGCGUAAAGGGCACGCAGGCGGUGACUUAAGUGAGAUGUGAAAGCCCCGAGCUUAACUUGGGAAUUGCAUUUCAUACUGGGUCGCUAGAGUACUUUAGGGAGGGGUAGAAUUCCACGUGUAGCGGUGAAAUGCGUAGAGAUGUGGAGGAAUACCGAAGGCGAAGGCAGCCCCUUGGGAAUGUACUGACGCUCAUGUGCGAAAGCGUGGGGAGCAAACAGGAUUAGAUACCCUGGUAGUCCACGCUGUAAACGAUGUCGAUUUGGGGAUUGGGCUUUGAGCUUGGUGCCCGUAGCUAACGUGAUAAAUCGACCGCCUGGGGAGUACGGCCGCAAGGUUAAAACUCAAAUGAAUUGACGGGGGCCCGCACAAGCGGUG